rnacentral:rRNA from 1 species
GGGUUGUGAGGUUAAGCGACUAAGCGUACACGGUGGAUGCCCUGGCAGUCAGAGGCGAUGAAGGACGUGCUAAUCUGCGAAAAGCGUCGGUAAGGUGAUAUGAACCGUUAUAGCCGGCGAUGUCCGAAUGGGGAAACCCAGUGUGAUUCGUCACACUAUCGUUAACUGAAUACAUAGGUUAACGAGGCGAACCGGGGGAACUGAAACAUCUAAGUACCCCGAGGAAAAGAAAUCAACCGAGAUUCCCCCAGUAGCGGCGAGCGAACGGGGAGCAGCCCAGAGUCUGAAUCAGCUUGUGUGUUAGUGGAACGGUCUGGAAAGUCCGACGGUACAGGGUGAUAGUCCCGUACACCAAAAUGCACAGGCUGUGAACUCGAAGAGUAGGGCGGGACACGUGGUAUCCUGUCUGAAUAUGGGGGGACCAUCCUCCAAGGCUAAAUACUCCUGACUGACCGAUAGUGAACCAGUACCGUGAGGGAAAGGCGAAAAGAACCCCGGCGAGGGGAGUGAAAAAGAACCUGAAACCGUGUACGUACAAGCAGUGGGAGCACCUUCGGGUGUGACUGCGUACCUUUUGUAUAAUGGGUCAGCGACUUAUAUUCUGUAGCAAGGUUAACCGUAUAGGGGAGCCGCAGGGAAACCGAGUCUUAACUGGGCGUUAAGUUGCAGGGUAUAGACCCGAAACCCGGUGAUCUAGCCAUGGGCAGGUUGAAGGUUGGGUAACACUAACUGGAGGACCGAACCGACUAAUGUUGAAAAAUUAGCGGAUGACUUGUGGCUGGGGGUGAAAGGCCAAUCAAACCGGGAGAUAGCUGGUUCUCCCCGAAAGCUAUUUAGGUAGCGCCUCGUGAACUCAUCUUCGGGGGUAGAGCACUGUUUCGGCUAGGGGGUCAUCCCGACUUACCAACCCGAUGCAAACUACGAAUACCGAAGAAUGUUAUCACGGGAGACACACGGCGGGUGCUAACGUCCGUCGUGAAGAGGGAAACAACCCAGACCGCCAGCUAAGGUCCCAAAGUCAUGGUUAAGUGGGAAACGAUGUGGGAAGGCACAGACAGCCAGGAUGUUGGCUUAGAAGCAGCCAUCAUUUAAAGAAAGCGUAAUAGCUCACUGGUCGAGUCGGCCUGCGCGGAAGAUGUAACGGGGCUAAACCAUGCACCGAAGCUGCGGCAGCGACGCUUAUGCGUUGUUGGGUAGGGGAGCGUUCUGUAAGCCUGCGAAGGUGACCUGUGAGGGUUGCUGGAGGUAUCAGAAGUGCGAAUGCUGACAUAAGUAACGAUAAAGCGGGUGAAAAGCCCGCUCGCCGGAAGACCAAGGGUUCCUGUCCAACGUUAAUCGGGGCAGGGUGAGUCGACCCCUAAGGCGAGGCCGAAAGGCGUAGUCGAUGGGAAACAGGUUAAUAUUCCUGUACUUGGUGUUACUGCGAAGGGGGGACGGAGAAGGCUAUGUUAGCCGGGCGACGGUUGUCCCGGUUUAAGCAUGUAGGCUGGUUAUCCAGGCAAAUCCGGAUAAUCAAGGCUGAGGUGUGAUGACGAGGCACUACGGUGCUGAAGUAACAAAUGCCCUGCUUCCAGGAAAAGCCUCUAAGCAUCAGGUAACAUCAAAUCGUACCCCAAACCGACACAGGUGGUCAGGUAGAGAAUACCAAGGCGCUUGAGAGAACUCGGGUGAAGGAACUAGGCAAAAUGGUGCCGUAACUUCGGGAGAAGGCACGCUGGUGUGUAGGUGAAGUCCCUGCGGAUGGAGCUGAGACCAGUCGAAGAUACCAGCUGGCUGCAACUGUUUAUUAAAAACACAGCACUGUGCAAACACGAAAGUGGACGUAUACGGUGUGACGCCUGCCCGGUGCCGGAAGGUUAAUUGAUGGGGUUAUCCGUAAGGAGAAGCUCUUGAUCGAAGCCCCGGUAAACGGCGGCCGUAACUAUAACGGUCCUAAGGUAGCGAAAUUCCUUGUCGGGUAAGUUCCGACCUGCACGAAUGGCGUAAUGAUGGCCAGGCUGUCUCCACCCGAGACUCAGUGAAAUUGAACUCGCUGUGAAGAUGCAGUGUACCCGCGGCAAGACGGAAAGACCCCGUGAACCUUUACUAUAGCUUGACACUGAACAUUGAGCCUUGAUGUGUAGGAUAGGUGGGAGGCUUUGAAGCGUGGACGCCAGUCUGCGUGGAGCCAACCUUGAAAUACCACCCUUUAAUGUUUGAUGUUCUAACGUUGGCCCCUUACCGGGGUUGCGGACAGUGUCUGGUGGGUAGUUUGACUGGGGCGGUCUCCUCCCAAAGCGUAACGGAGGAGCACGAAGGUUAGCUAAUCCUGGUCGGACAUCAGGAGGUUAGUGCAAUGGCAUAAGCUAGCUUGACUGCGAGCGUGACGGCGCGAGCAGGUGCGAAAGCAGGUCAUAGUGAUCCGGUGGUUCUGAAUGGAAGGGCCAUCGCUCAACGGAUAAAAGGUACUCCGGGGAUAACAGGCUGAUACCGCCCAAGAGUUCAUAUCGACGGCGGUGUUUGGCACCUCGAUGUCGGCUCAUCACAUCCUGGGGCUGAAGUAGGUCCCAAGGGUAUGGCUGUUCGCCAUUUAAAGUGGUACGCGAGCUGGGUUUAGAACGUCGUGAGACAGUUCGGUCCCUAUCUGCCGUGGGCGCUGGAGAAUUGAGGGGGGCUGCUCCUAGUACGAGAGGACCGGAGUGGACGCAUCACUGGUGUUCGGGUUGUCAUGCCAAUGGCACUGCCCGGUAGCUAAAUGCGGAAGAGAUAAGUGCUGAAAGCAUCUAAGCACGAAACUUGCCCCGAGAUGAGUUCUCCCUGAGACUUUAAGUCUCCUGAAGGAACGUUGAAGACGACGACGUUGAUAGGCCGGGUGUGUAAGCGCAGCGAUGCGUUGAGCUAACCGGUACUAAUGAACCGUGAGGCUUAACCUUACAACGCCGAAG